rfam:Schistosoma mansoni strain Puerto Rico chromosome 4, complete genome
ACACUGCCGAGGAGUCCCACAAUAGGACGAAACGGCCGUCCAGUGC